rnacentral:rRNA from 1 species
AGGCUCUGCCGUCCCGUGAUCGCUUCUUAGAGGGACUUUGCGGUUAUAAAUCGCAAGGAAGUUUAAGGCAAUAACAGGUCUGUGAUGCCCUUAGAUGUCCUGGGCUGCACGCGCGCUACACUGAUGCGUUCAUCGAGUUUAUCCUUGGCCGAGAGGCCCGGGUAAUCUUUAGUACGCAUCGUGAUGGGGAUCGAUUAUUGCAAUUGUUAAUCGUGAACGAGGAAUGCCUAGUAUGCGCAAGUCAUCAGCUUGUGCAGAUUACGUCCCUGCCCUUUGUACACACCGCCCGUCGCUCCUACCGAUCGA